rnacentral:piRNA from 1 species
UAUCAAACAGAUGGCCCAAAA